rnacentral:rRNA from 1 species
CGUAGGUGGCAAGCGUUACUCGGAAUCACUAGGCGUAAAGCGCAGGUAGGCGGUUGGAUAAGUCUGUUGUGAAAGCUCCCGGCUUAACUGGGAGAGGCCAACGGAAACUAUUCGGCUGGAGUGUGGUAGAGGUAGCUGGAAUUCCCGGUGUAGCGGUGAAAUGCGUAGAUAUCGGGAGGAAUACCUAUGGCGAAAGCAGGCUACUGGACCAUCACUGACGCUGAUCUGCGAAAGCUAGGGGAGCAAACAGGAUUAGAUACCCUGGUAGUCCUAGCCCUAAACGAUGCUCAUUAGGUGUGGGAGGUAUCGACCCCUUCCGCGCCGUAGCUAACGCAUUAAAUGAGCCGCCUGGGGAGUACGGCCGCAAGGUUG